rnacentral:rRNA from 1 species
CAAGGUUUCCGUAGGUGAACCUGCGGAAGGAUCAUUAACAUAAUAUUCUUACACACUGUUUUUUUACAACAAAACAAACAUAUCUAAUCUAUAAAUCUACGUUUUAAAAUUCUUAAAACUUUCAACAACGGAUCUCUUGGUUCUCGCAUCGAUGAAGAACGCAGCGAAAUGCGAUACGUAAUACGAAUCGCAGCUCUCGGAAUCAUCGAAUCUUUGAACGCACAUUGCACCAUUGGGUAUUCCCAAUGGUAUGCUUGUUUGAGCGAAUACUUCCCUAAUCCUCACGGAUUGUAUUGUGUUUGCACGAAAAUAAUGACGACAGUACUCUACAAAACGGUACCGUCAGUACGCUCAUUUUUUUUUCCUCAAAUCAAGUAGGACUACCCGCUGAACUUAAGCAUAUCAAUAAGCGGAGGAAAAGAAACC